rnacentral:rRNA from 1 species
GACGAGCGCUGGCGGCGUGCUUAACACAUGCAAGUCGAACGGAAAGGCCCUGCUUUUGUGGGGUGCUCGAGUGGCGAACGGGUGAGUAACACGUGAGUAACCUGCCCUUGACUUUGGGAUAUCUUCAGGAAACUGGGGCUAAUACCGGAUAGGAGCUCCUGCUGCAUGGUGGGGGUUGGAAAGUUUCGGCGGUUGGGGAUGGACUCGCGGCUUAUCAGCUUGUUGGUGGGGUAGUGGCUUACCAAGGCUUUGACGGGUAGCCGGCCUGAGAGGGUGACCGGCCACAUUGGGACUGAGAUACGGCCCAGACUCCUACGGGAGGCAGCAGUGGGGAAUAUUGCACAAUGGGCGGAAGCCUGAUGCAGCAACGCCGCGUGCGGGAUGACGGCCUUCGGGUUGUAAACCGCUUUCGCCUGUGACGAAGCGUGAGUGACGGUAAUGGGUAAAGAAGCACCGGCUAACUACGUG